CGGUGCGCGGAGGCUGCGGCGCGCAGGGCAGGCGAGUGCCGGGCAGCGGCCACCGGGCGCAGCGGGCCGCGGGGAGCCGGCCGAGCCCCUGCCUGCGAGCCGCGGCCUCGCCCGCCGAGGUCGGCCUGGGGGGCCCGCAGGGCACGCGGAGCGCCGAGUGCGCGUGGGGCUGGGCCCCGCACCCGGGCGCAGGAGCGCGGGCGCGGCGGGGCGGAGCGCCGGGCAUGGAGCCGGCCCGAGAGCCCCCCGCGCGGGCCCGGCCGCCGCCGCCCCCCGCCGCCCGCCCCGCGCCCGCCCCCACCGCGCCCAGGCCGCGCUCGCCGGCGGAGGCGGAGGCCCGCGGCCCCGAGGGGCUGCUGCGGCGAUCGGGCUCCGGCUACGAGGGCAGCACCAGCUGGAAGGCGGCCUUGGAGGACACCACCACCCGCCUCCUGCUCGGAGCCAUUGCCGUCCUCCUGUUCGCCAUCCUGGUGGUGAUGAGCAUCUUGGGUGAGCAUGGAUGUCGGGGCAUUUAUGCGGUUCAGUGUACCACCUCCUCAGAAGCGUGUCUAACUUCCAAGGGCUGCAUCAAGUGUGAGGCGCCCUGCCCGGAGGACUGGCUGCUCUACGGCAGGAAGUGCUACUUCUUCUCCGAGGAGCCGAGGGACUGGAACACCGGCCGGCAGUACUGCCACACCCACGAGGCCGCGCUGGCCGUGAUUCAGAGCCCCAAGGAGCUGGAAUUUAUGUUCAAGUUCACGCGGAGGGAGCCCUGGAUUGGCCUUCGCAGAGUCGGGGACGAGUUCCACUGGGUCAACGGGGAGCCCUUUGACCCCGACACAUUCGCCAUCGCGGGCCUGGGGGAGUGCGUCUUCGUGGAGCCCACCAGGCUGGUGUCGACGGAGUGUCUGAUGACGCGGCCCUGGGUGUGCAGCAAGAUGGCCUACACGUGAGGUGGGUCAGGCCAGGCCCACCCGCCCCAGGCUCCGCCCAGGACCCUCUCCCAGGCCCAUGAGCCCUGGUCUCCUUGGCCCCAGGCCGGUCCUGUGGCUCAGCAGGGCCCAGCGCCAGCCUCCCUGCCAGGCCUCCGGGACGCAGCAGCCCCGAGGGACCACGCCCUCUCCCCGGCACCCCCAGCUCUUCACACGGAGCCUUCACACGGCGCCUGUCACCUUGCCCUCCGUGACGUCUCCUCAUGACCUGACCCUCCUGCACCUGAUUAUAAAGCCCGGGAGCAGGCUUUGUGUGCCCUGGCCUCUGGGAUGUACAAACGCGCACUCGAAGAUGACUGUCCGUGACAGUGUACACAGCAUCACCAACCGAUUCCCACGGUGGGAGAGCGCGGGCCCAGCGUCAGAAGACACGUAUUUGGCCUUGGUGGGCAUGGCAUGGCAUGGUUUUUGGAGGCCCAGCAGAGACGGACUCUUGACCUUGUUCUGCUUCAAUCAGACCAGCUCAUGCACACGCUGGGUGGGCGGGGUGGGGGUGGCCUGGAAGCACAGGGGCACGGAGGGAGGGCUGCCUCAGUCUCCAAAAUGUCCUUUGCCUCAUUCACGCAGCCUCAUGAGGAGCCCGCUGUGAGGGGGACCAGGUUUGGGGAGUUUCCAUCAGGGAGGGGCUGGCUGCUGAAGGUCCCUGUGACCCCUGGGAUAGAGCCCUAAUUAACAUCACAGCUGAGACCUGGUUUCUAGAAAUGGCCACUGCCCGCUGAGAGCUGACAGCAGUGGGAGGGGAGGAGGGGAAGGAGGCAGCUGCCUCUCUCCCCUUCCUGCUCUGUAGCCAGCUCCAGGCUCGGAGUAUGAGAUUGAAACGGGCAUCCAGGAAGCCCCCUGCCACCCCCACCUGAGAUCCCACCUCUCUGCUAAGGCAGCAGGGAGUGGACACACACUGGGCCUGGCUCCCAAGCCCUGCCCUGGGCCAGUCAGGGGCCAGCUCAUCCCAACAAGCAGUUGUGGAGUUCAGCCCACUGUGCCGAACCUCUCUGACCCCAGGCUUCACCUCUGUCAACUAGAAUCAUGCCUGCCCUGCCUACCUAAUAGGGUUUUGAGAAUCAUGGACGUUAGGAUUUCAGGGGUUAGACAUGAUCGACCCCAUGAGGCCCAGAGAGGUUAAGUGACACGUCCAAGGUCACACAGCUAGUGGCAGAGCUGGACCAGGCCAUGUGGCGCUCCUGUUCCCUGUUUAUUCUCUCAUCACUGCAUGUGUCAUGCUUUGUGUAUUUGUGUACUUGUUGGCCACCCGCGUGGAAAUUAAGCUCCUAGAGGUCAGGGGUCCCCUCGCACACUUUUCUGUUUUUCUGGCGCCUGGUACAUACAGAAGGUGCUCAAUAAAUGUGUGUUGAACUAAA